rnacentral:rRNA from 1 species
UCCACGCCGUAAACGAUGUUCACUCGCUGUCUGCGAUACACAGUAGGCGGCUGAGCGAAAGCAUUAAGUGAACCACCUGGGGAGUACGAUCGCAAGGUUGAAACUCAAAGGAAUUGACGGGGGCCCGCACAAGCGGAGGAACAUGUGGUUUAAUUCGAUGAUACGCGAGGAACCUUACCUGGGCUUAAAUGUAGAUUGCAUAACUUAGAAAUAGGUUUUCCCUUCGGGGCUAUUUACAAGGUGCUGCAUGGUUGUCGUCAGCUCGUGCCGUGAGGUGUCGGGUUAAGUCCCAUAACGAGCGCAACCCCUAUCGUUAGUUGCCAGCGGAUAAUGCCGGGGACUCUAGCGAGACUGCCACCGUAAGGUGAGAGGAAGGUGGGGAUGACGUCAAAUCAGCACGGCCCUUAUGUCCAGGGCUACAC